AUGUGGAGAGCUGAGCUAGGCAGCAGUUGAGAAUAAUGGUGCAAGCAAAUAUGGGUAGGAUUUUCAGAACAAUCUUGACUUCCUCCACUUGCUGGACCGAGCAUUCAAGUGCUGGCUUCCUUGCUGGUUUGGGUUCGAUAAGAGGGGCUUGUGGUAAGGUUGGCAAUGGCAUUGCUUGGACUUCGGCUUACGCAACUACUGUUCAGCAUAGCGGCAACCAAGACCUGUUGAAGUAAAAACACGUAUCGUUACUAGUAUCUUAUUUUGUGGAAUUCAUUCAAUUAAAACAUGUCCAAUUUGCUUUUAGCAUACCUUGCAAAUGGUUGUCAAAGGGCUGCCAAAGGGUAUUUUGCUCCUAUAAAACGUAGAGCCAGCGAGGAAGAUCGGGAUUGAUAACAAGAUUGCAAUGGUGGAGAUGGCAAAACCCCACUCCCACCCUUUGUUGUCUUCGAUCCACACAACAAAAGUGACGGCAAUAAGGGCACCAAAUGAGAGACUGAAGACAAAGUAGUUGAAGAAGGUGGAUCUUUGCUUCCUUCCCUGUGGGGUAUUCUCAUCAAACUGCUCGGCGCCAUGGGUUGGUAAGGAACCCUUUAUCCCUCCAAUGCCAAGUGCCACAAGAUAGAGGCCCAUGAACAGCAUUGCUGCUUUCCCACCUCUAACUUCCUCGCAUGGGAUGGAGGAUGCGGAUGGACUGCAUUUGGGUGGCUUUAGGGAAGGUGCCCUUGCUUGUAUUGUAAGAAUGAUCAAUCCCUAAUCAACCAUAACAGAUUUGGCUAUUUCAUUAUCACUGCAAUCACAUAUGCUAGUUCAAAUCAAUCAUGUCAACAGUUGAAGCUUAUGUUAAA